AUGGCCGCGGUAUUUUGACCGUGCAAAGGUAGCAUAAUCAUUAGUUUUUUAAUUGAAAGCUGGAAUGAAUGGUUGGACAAGAAAAUUUCUGUCUCUAUCUAAAUUUUAGAAUUUUAUUUUUUAGUUAAAAAGCUUAAAUUUUUUUAAGGGACGAGAAGACCCUAUAGAAUUUUAUAUAUUUGUUUGUUUUUAGUUUUUAGAUUUAUUAUUAUAGAAUUUUCUUAAUAUAUUUGGUUGGGGUGAUUGAAAAAUUUAAAUAACUUUUUUUGUUUUGAAUCAUUAAUUUAUGAAUAAUUGAUCCAUUAAUUGUGAUUAUAAGAUUAAAUUACCUUAGGGAUAACAGC
rnacentral:rRNA from 1 species